CAUUUUCACAGUAGUUUUGAGCAUAUUUCUGCCAGAUAAUCAUUCAAAAUAUAUUUUUGUGUCUUUUUCAAGGAAGUUUACAUAUUUACAAAAACGGGAAACUUUUGUGUCAUGUAAUUAUUGUUUUUGAUAUUUUAAGAUUAUUUUCCGGACGAAACAUACUUACGACUUAAAUUUAGCAAGAUUCAAAAUCUAGUGCUCUUAUUUUCAAUAUACAUACGCUUCGAUGUACUAUCUGACCCGGACUGGUCCAUAUACCAUAAACAGCGAACGCAAACCAAAUCGAGAAGAAAUGUUUACUAAACUGGUGCAACCUUUUUUUUAUGAUUGACAUUUGGACAAAAGAAGUGAUUUCGCAAAUCUACUUUAACAUGAACACAAGUAUUUGAGUGCCACAAAGUAUUUAGUAAACGUCGUGAAAACAUCGAAAACUGGUCUAAUAAAGAUAACAUCGCUAAAGUAAAAAAAACCGUGCUUGAAAAUCAUGAUGUUGUCACCGGAGAGAAGUAUGUAUAGACCCAGAAAAUUUUGGUUAAUGUUUUGGAUAUGAAGCGUGUUAAUAGCUGUCUUCGAUUCGGCAAGCGUUACUCUCCAGCGAAUCGCACAAACUAUACCAGAUGCUGAAACAUACGGGCGGCACUUGUGGUGCAACCCUGCGCUAAAGUCUUCUGACGGAUGCGCAAUUCAACUGGAACUUGCUUCAAUUCAACUGGAUAACUUUGUUGUUGCUUUCACAUGUAAAUUUUUUGACAUGAGAGCAGAAGCGAGCAGAGAAAUGACCAAUCAAAGACAGCUAAUACUAGAUCGCACCAAAAUACCUGAUUCUUUUGCAAAAAUAACGUCGAGUGGAGAUGAGAGAUGAGGACGCAAAAGAGAUACUUGACACGUCGAAACUGUCUAAUAAUCUAAUGAAUGGCGCUCUAAAAAAUGAGCACUAAAGGCCAUUCCAGUGUUGGUAUACAUGUAUUGGCUCAAAAAGAGCAUAUUUUGAAGAUUUAAAAAGCAAUCUUCCCUAGUUUGUAAACCCUUUUUAUCUGGCUUAAUAGAAGUAAAUGUAAAUUCCAAUCAACAUUAUAAGAAGGUAACUCUGAGUAUCAAUGUUCUGGCAUAAGACAAGAUAGACUUUUCGUAAGCCUCUGUAAGCCAUAAACGCUCAUUAAACUCCACCAGCGCUAAAGUGUUGCUGCGAAAUAGAGAUGCAACAGCGCGGGUCCAUUUAUAUGAAACACACACGAGUGAGGCAAUGGCUGUAAACAGCUGUCAGGAUACCUGUCAGUUGGCUGUCAAGUGCAUGUAAAUGGCAGCUGGCGAUGGCCAGCAAAAACGCGUGCAUGGCAUAUCUUCGGUUACACGCCUCAGGCUGUAUAACGCAGUUUGCAAUAAUAAAAGUGAAAAUAAAUAUGUAAUGAUAUAAA